UACGGAGGGUGCAAGCGUUAAUCGGAAUUACUGGGCGUAAAGCGCGCGUAGGUGGUUCGUUAAGUUGGAUGUGAAAUCCCCCGGGCUCAACCUGGGAACUGCAUUCAAAAACUGUCGAGCUAGAGUAUGGUAGAGGGUGGUGGAAUUUCCUGUGUAGCGGUGAAAUGCGUAGAUAUAGGAAGGAACACCAGUGGCGAAGGCGACCACCUGGACUGAUACUGACACUGAGGUGCGAAAGCGUGGGGGAGCAA
rnacentral:rRNA from 1 species